UUCUUAUUGGAUGAUGAUUGUCACAUGUCAUGAUCUGAUUGGAUGUCAACUUUAUGGAAGAUGAGAUUUAUUGUUAUUGUCAUUGGUCAAUUAGAGAACACAUGGUUGUCAUAAUUCAAUAAGAACAAGACACAUGACAAUCAACAUUU
rfam:Glycine soja cultivar W05 scaffold481_32, whole genome shotgun sequence.